rnacentral:rRNA from 1 species
CCUACGGGUGGCUGCAGUGGGGAAUAUUGCACAAUGGGGGAAACCCUGAUGCAGCGACGCCGCGUGAGUGAAGACGUAUCUCGGUAUUUAAAGCCCCAUUAGCCGGGAAGAAAAUGACGGUACCUGACUAAGAAGCCCCGGCUAACUACGUGCCAGCAGCCGCGGGUAUACGUCGGGGGCCAGCGUUAUACGGGUUUACUGGGGGGAAAGGGAGCGUUGGCGGGAGCGCAAGUCUGGAGUGCAAGUCCGCCGCCCAACUACGGGACUGCUAUGGAAACUGCCCGUCUAGAGUGCAGGAGAGGUAAGCGGAAUUCCUGGUGUAGCGGUGAAAUGCGUAGAUAUUAGGAGGAACACCAGUGGCGAAGGCGGCUUGCUGGACAGUAACUGACGUUGAGGCUCGAAAGCGUGGGGAGCAAACAGGAUUAGAUACCCUUGUAGUC